CUGGAAGGGAAGCAGCAACACUUGCUGAUCUACUUGAUCACAAACUGGUCACUGUCACAGUGGGAAGGUGUCAACCGUCAACGACAACUUACCAGCGGCCCCUGCAGACUGCAGCACCUUCUCCAGCCCCAUCAACACAGACAGUUCAGGUGGCAUCCUGGUGAAUUGAGGCAAUUGGCCUCAGACAAAACACGAAUGAGCAGCUCCUGGCGCACCUCAUCCAGCCUGAUCACAAAACAACCAUGAAACGUGAAGACAUCCCAGAGAGAUCAGGGUUGGGAAAACCACCACCUUCACCAGUUUGCCGGGAGAUGCUGAUCUUGAGCGCCAUCAGAUCACGCCCUGAGGUGUAUGGACCGUUAUUUUCCCACCUGUCCUACCUUCCUUGUGUACAGUAAUGUGUGCGUGGAGGGAUGCCAGAGAGAGCGUGUUCACCCUUCACAGGGUGGAGCUGGGCAGAGUCCUGACUUUGGAAGGUGAUGCACAAACCUAAGGAUCUAUGUAAACAGAGGAAUAAACAUUGCCAUUUGUAAUAGGCGGAGUAGCUGUGUCUGCCCCGGCCCUGCAGGCCCCAGCAGGUGGCCCUACGAGGGGCCCUGGUAUCCCCUGACACCUAUGCCUAUGCUACGGGCUCCCUUGGGCUUCAGACAACUGAGGCAGAUGUACUUGCUUUUAGUGUGCUCAGAAAAUGACUUCUUCCCCAUAAAUAAUGCAAAGGUAUGGGUUAGUUCAGUCCUAGAGAGGUCUGUACUUGAUUUAUGCUUGGAGCAAGGGAUGUGUGCAUGUGUUGAAUUUAUUUUUAAUCCUUAAUAAAUUUUCAUUUAUUUCACUGGUAAAGGCUUGCCUUCCUCUCAAGGGCAUCUUUAAGUGGGAAAACACAGGCCCCAAACUGUAGGAUUUAAGAGGCACGUGCACUCCUGUGAAGGCUCCCCUCCUCGACUGGGGGUGUGGGUGCUGUGCAGGCCCCUCUGAAGGGCCCUCUCCAGAGGACAAGGACCAGCUCAGCUGAACUGACCAACAUUCCUAUCCUCCAGUU